rnacentral:tRNA from 1 species
CCUUCGAUAGCUCAGUUGGUAGAGCGGGGGACUGUAGAUUUAUAAUUGUGAUCCCUAGGUCGCUGGUUCGAAUCCGGCUUGAAGGA